ACCGAAGAAAGUUGCUAAGGAAAUGGAAGAGAUGGGUAGACGAAUGCUUAAACAUUGUGGGGGAUUGCCUUUGGCUGUCAGGGUGUUAGGAGGAUUGUUGGCUGAAAAUUACACAGAACUCUACUGGGAACGAGUAUCUAAGAAUAUUGAAUCUCAUCUCGUUGGAAGAGCCAAUGAUGGCAACAACAAUUUAUUGAACCGUGUAUUGUCUCUGAGCUUUGAAGAGCUGCCUGGUCAUUUAAAGUAUUGCUUCCUCUACUUGGCCCAUUUUCCAGAAGAUUAUGAAAUAAGUAUCGAAGAAUUGCACUAUUAUUGGGCUGCAGAAGGAAUCAUCAAGUAUACCAAUGGAGAGAGCAUUAGAGAUGUUGGAGAUAGCUACAUAGAAGAAUUGGUAAAGAGAAAUAUGGUUAUAUCUGAAAGAGUCGGUACCACUUGGAGAUUUGAAGAAUGCCGUUUGCAUGACUUGAUGAGAGAUCUUUGUUUGUCAAAAGCAAAAGAAGAGAACUUCCUACAAAUUGUCGGUAACAGCUCCACGUCUGUUAGUACAUCUCAGAGAUUUGUCUCACAUGAACCGUCUGCAUUACAUGUUGAGAGAGAGAUAAAUAAUUCAAAGGUUCGAUCUCUCAUUGUUCUCAAGAAGUAUAAGUACUGUGAAGUUUCAUGUGUAAGCUUUACAAGCUUACAAGUGCUGAGAGUAUUACAUCUCCCUAGAGUCACUUUCAAAGG
rnacentral:lncRNA from 1 species